GGAAGUUAAUGAGCAAUCCAAAUGUUUAAUCAAAAAAAAAAAAAAAAACCCCACAAUGGCCUCAGUAUUUGGACCUGAGUGACGAAAACCCUGGUAGCCUUCCAGGGGGAAGCUGUUGGGGGAACUGCACUUGGCGUGGGGAGGCAGGAGCCUGGCUCACAGUGGGUCAGCUCUGAGAUGCUGGAGAUCCCCAAGGGGGCUGAGAAGACAAGUGGGGGCGCCGGAAGCGAACAGGUCAGGCCCUCCAGAUCCAGGACUCGAAUCCAAGCAGGCUUCUGACGGCAGCGUCCCCAGAGAUGCGACCGCCUGGAUCUGUUGGCUCCACCUUCAAGACAUCUCUGGCAUCGGACACCCCCUACCUCCCAAGGCGUCCCCCUGCCCGCCCUUCACAGUCCACCACCCAGCAGCAGCCAGAGGGGCCCCCGUGAAACCGAGCCAGGACGCCCUCCGCUGCUGGGCCGCAGGAGGAUCGAAGCCCAGCCCGGCCCACAGGAACCUUGCCGGUGCCAGAAGACCAGCCUGCAGGCCCGAGGCUGCAGCCUCCCUGGGUGCUCCCGGAGAGGAGGAGAGAGGGCAGCACCAAGGCUGGCUUAGAGGUCCCCCCAGUACCGUCUCCAGCAGCCUCAACCCUGCUGGGGGUCCCCCUCUCAGGGCUGGUUUAUCCCUCCUUCCUGCCCUCCUCAGCUCUCCUGGUCCUUCCAGUGCUCCUGGCUCGGCGAUGCACAUCUCAGGGCACCCCAGCCCCUCCUGUGGGUCUUCCCUGCCUGCUCCAGCCCUCACCACCUGCACGGAGCUCCUGGGGGCGGGGCCGGUCUGUCCUGCCCUUGGACAUCCUCCCGGGAGACGCCCAGCACCAAACCAGCGCAGAGUCCACUGCCCCUGCUGCAUGGACCAGGGAGCCUUCUGGUGGGUCUGGAGGGAGGCCUAGCUGCUGGGUGCGGGUCGUGAUGGGCCCCUCCCCGAACUGGCCAGGGAGGGUGUGGGAAGUGUCCCUGUCGGACCCGGGUCAGUGGGGCUCCCCACCUGGGGCCCUGGGGAGGAGGCUGCCCAGGGAGGCUGGACGGGAGCUUAGCAGGAGCAGCCCCCUGCCACGGGUGGCGUGGGGCCCACCAGGUGGCAGCUGCCAGCUUCCCUCCCCACUGCCUAUGGUUUGGACUUUCUCUCCCAGGCCAGUGGUGAGGGGUGUUUCAUUACAGCUGGUCCCACCUGGCCUCCUCCACGUGGGCCCUGUUCCCGGCUCCUGCCUGGGUCCCCUAACCCGCGACAGCCCCACAUUCGGUGGGGGUCAACAAGGUGGGAGAAACCAGUCCUGGAUGGCACCACGGAGGGAGUGACAUUGGUGCUGGGUAUGGGAGAUGUGUAGGAAGGAAAGGAGCCUGAUGCUCCAGGUGGAGGGGCGGGACCAAGCAAAGGCCCCGAUGGCAGGAGUCCAGGGUGUGGGGUGUGCGGAUGUCACAGGGGAGGGGCGGUGAGUGCCCAGAGCAUCAGGCCAGGGAGCUUGGUUUAGAACUGAGGGUGCUGGGGAGCCAUAGAGUACUCUGGAGAGAGGGGAGUGGCCUACUCUGCCUAGAGGGCAAAGCCUGCCUGGCCACACAUCAGCCAUCAGGAAGCGCUCAGUGUAGUCCCACCCAUGGGGAGGACAUGGCACUUCACUGUAGGAGCUCCCGGCUGACCACAGCCAUGGGUAGUGCCCUCUUCCCUGCAGGUUGGCCCAUGGCUGAACACGAGAGGUGGGAGUGGGCCGGAGGGCAGGCGGUGAAGGGAAAGGGCACGGCCUGGACAAAGGGCAGAGAUGGGAAUGCGCAGGGCGUGUGCCCAGGAUGGGAGGAGCCAUCAGACUUGGCUGGGCCCUGGAUGUCCAGAACAGCGGGAGCAGCCCGAUGCCACUGGCCGCAGGCCCGUGGAGUCCUCGUGGAUCCCUCGUGGCUCAAAGCCCAGACAGCUCCCAGACACGCGGCCUGGGGGGCAUCUUGUGGCCCCUUGUAGCCCGGCCUUGGAUCCUGACCCCUGAGCUGCCAGCCUGGACCCGAGGUGGGUGGCACGGGGGCCUCAGGGCCACCACCUCCUCACCAAGCACUCGCUCAUCCAUCUCAGAGAAAAGUCAGGAGAUGUUACAAGCCGAAAACUCCGCCGGUAAACAAAGUCAGGGUCUGAUUGUGAAAGGGAAAACUGAAACCCCGGAGGGGCCCUGAAUCCCUAGACGGGCUUCCCCGAAUCUCCAGGAGCAGCAGGACUGAUCUGGGCUGUGUGGCUGGCCAAGGGCAAGGCCCCGGAUGCGGGAGGCAGGGAUCAGAUCCUCACACGCUCACGCCAGCCCAGAUCACGGAUGCCAUCCCUGCAAUUGGGUGGCCCAAAAGGCCAGGGGCACCAUGUGGCCAGGAGGUGCCACGUGGACAUCACUUGAGGCCCACCUGCUCCCUGGGGUCCCUGGCUUGCGCAGAUGUCCCCAAAGGGGCAUGGUCUCUAAUCCUGCCUGGUCAGCCCAUCCUGGGACUGCAGGGGCCAGACCAGAUCAUGUCACCCGGCAGGGGGUCCCCAGGAGCUUGAACUCCACUGUCCCCCAUUGUGGGUUCUAUGUUGCCCCACAGGAGGCCCAGUCCCCUCAACCUCCCUGUCCACCUCCCUUCUCCAAGCAGCCCAAGCUUCCUAGUCCCAAGGGAGCCCCUUGUCCGGGUGCCACAGUCGCCCUGCCCCUGUCAGAAUGCCCUGGACCUCUGCUGGCCUCACUCGCCUUCCUGCAGGGUCCUCCCUUCCUGCUGGUCCCGGCCUCCCCUCUGCAGCCCCUGUACUCUGCCUCUGCUCCCCAGCCAGCCUGCCCUCCACCUCUGUCAGCCCCUGGGCUGCCUCUGCCUCCAGUGGACAGGCCCCAGCCCAGGGCCAGCCCUCCUGCCCCCGUGCACCGCGGCUAGUAGCUUCCAACUUACAGCGGCUGUCCAUAUCACCCCCUCUCAAGACAGUCUCUAGCCCCAGCUGUUGCCCACCGGACCUUGGGCCCCCUGGAGGGAAGCGGUGGCAGUCAUCAGCUGGGCACCUUGCUGGAAGCCCGCUGCCGUGACUACCGGGCCAUGCCCAAUGCCCCCUGCACGUCCCCCAUCAACAGAUCCCUUCUCUGGCCAGCCUUGGCCACCACCCUCACUGAGCGCAUGUCCACCCUGGGGUCCUCACCCCAACAAGAGCCCUCUUCUCUCCUGUCUCCCGGUCUCCCCUCUCAGCUGCCCUGACUGGCAGCCAAGCUUCCUGCAGGGCCCCCCGCCCAGCCAUCCUGCUGCCCCAACCAGCCUCAGAGAGCCUGGCGUCUAGGACCCCUUGCUGGGCAACCGUGCCAGAACACUUCAAGCCUCUCCCCUAAGUCCUGACAUUUUGGAUUCCUGCUUCAGAGAAGGCUGGAGUCUCAAAACAGCUUGUAUCCUUCUUCUGACGGGGAGCUCAUCCCUUCACAGCAUGGAUCCUUUUGAUUGUUAGAAAGUUCUCCCCCCACCCCCCAGCUCCCCACUCAGGGCAGCUCCCAGGCCCCAGGGGUCUCUUUACUGGGGGAAGUGGCAGCACCGAUUUUGAAAUCCUUUUGAAAAUGUUUUUCCUUUGUUUUGUUUUAUUUAGAAAUUUCCCAAAUUUUUACCAAGUUAAAGACACAACCACAAGAAUGUGUAGCCUGGGUGGACAACUGGCAUAAACAGCCCCUCCCCCACUGCCCAUCCUCCCCCCAAACCACCGCCCCCCAACUCAGCAGCAAAAAAUGUCAAACAUGUAUAAGAAAACAGACAGUGGGGUGAACGGAGCUGGGCAAGGGACCCAGAAUUGCACAUGAACACACACACAUGCACACGCAUAUGCACACAGAAAAAAGCACACGUGCACACACACAUAAAUAAGCACUGUGCACACACAUGUGCAGACAUACAUGUGCAGACAAGAAAACUCACAUGCACAUACACACUUAUGCAUAUACACAGCACACACUCUCAUGCAUGCACAUAUAAACACACAUAUGCACAUGCGUUCACAUACACGUGUGCACAAACACACAUACACACGUGCACACACAAACACCACACAUUCAGACUUGCACACACGUGCAUACACACACACACACUGCUGCGGGGAGGUGACCCUCUCCCCCGUCCUGGCUGCAAAGUAGAGACAGCUUGGGGUGAGUCCAUCCCCACCUCUGGCCCUGCCAGCAGUCAUUUUCCCUCUGGCUGCCUCCAUUUCCCCUUCACCUCCCCCUACAUCUCCCAAGGUCCUUUGGAGAAUCCGGUGGCUCAGAGGUGGCGGGCUCUGUAAAUCAGCACACACAUGCACGGGAUGCGGGGCUCCGGCUCUGUGUCCCACAGAGGUCUUCAGAGCUGGGGGCCCAGCAGCCACCCCAGGGCUAGGAGGUCACCCUUGGGCCAUGGCAGUCCCAUAACAGACAAAGACUUGACUAUCACACCAUGGAGGACCCCCUUCUCAGAGGUCACUGGGACUCAAGAAGCCUGGACACAGUGUUGAGUAGGGACAUAGCACCCGUCUUUAGAGCCCCAGGCUGCACCCCUCAAGCCUGCACCCCCAGGCUGCACCCCCCAGGCUGCAUCCCUGAGCUUGCACCCCCAAGCUUGCAACCCUAGGCCAUACCCCCUCAGGCUGCAUCUCCGAGCCUGCACCCCAAGCCUGCACCUCCAGGCCGCACCCCCUCAGGCUAUAUCCCCAAGCCUGCACCCCCAGCCUGCACCCCCCAGCCUGCACCGCUCAGGAGGCCCCAGCUGCCCCCUAGGAGCCUUUUCUAUCCCACCAUGAGCCGCCCUGGUCCUCCAGAGCUUCCCUGGUCAGAUUAUCUCCCAGAGCCAGCUCGUCUCACCAACUUCACUGCCUGGGGGCCCAGUUCCUUGGCCCAGGACACACAGCUUUAAGAAACCGAGUUGGGAUUCGAACUCAGGCCUUCCUGCACCAAGAGCCCCUCCAUCACGCUCCUGCAGGCCUGAGAACCAGCUCCGACAGCUCCGUGCGCUGGGUGUGGCCCCGGGAGCCCCCCUACCCCUAAGGAUGGCGGCGCUCAGCCUACGGGAGCAGAAUUGGCAGGGAAGUUUUGGGCAAGGGGGAGAUUUUGAGGGCCGAUGGGAGGGUCUCGGAGCCUGAGGUCGCACCUCCAGGACGAUGAGCAAGUCCCCUUAGCGAGAGGCGGGCUGGGCUCGGGGAAUUUUGCUGGCACAGAGGCAGGAAGGAGAGGCUCUUGGCCUUCCGAAAUGUUUACUACAUCAGGAAAUUAAUUCACUACGCACGGGCUUCAGUGACGAAGAAUAAAAACACACACACACACUCACUCGGGACAAAUUGAGUCCAGGCCUGGUCAGCCUCUGCCUGCCUGGGGGAGGCGGGGAGGGCUUGGGCCCACCACGGUCACAGACCAUGAGCUGGGGGUCAGGCGGGGGGCCAAGGGCAGGGCUGCAUCCCACCCCACCCACCCAGGCCCCGGCCCCUGCCGAGCUGUCACCGUUACACAACUCCAGACUCUGUUUCUUCAUGAAUGCCCUGCCGAGGGGGGCCACUGACCUGCAGCCUCAGGAAUGUGCCUUUCCAGAGCCCGGGGGAGGGGGACGUGGGGCAGCCGCUGCACUGAUGGUCCAGCCUGCUGGCUGCUUACCCACCGGCUGGGGUGAUCAAGCAGCACCGGGGGUCCCCAGCACCCCCCACACUUGCCUGGGCUAGUCCAGACCAGACAGGAAGGCCUGCUGUGCUCCUGCAAUGGUCCGGGCGGGCUCUGGACCAGGAGCUGGGGCACGGGUGCUGAUGGGGGCAGGGGAGCAAGGGAGGAUCCUGAGGAGGGGACCUGAACCAGAGGGCAGCACUGCCUCCCUUUUGCCCCCAGAGGCUGCUACCUGCCAUCAGUCAGAGAGCGCUUCUUCUCAUCCCAGCUGCUGGGCUGGCCCCCUCGUCAACUGCUCAUCUGUAAAAUGGGGCAAUCUCACAUCCCCUGGCAGUGCUGCCCAGAGAACUCAGAGCAAGCCCUUGGCCCUUGCCUUCCCUUCUCCCAUCCUGACGCAUGUCUGCUCCCUGCCUUCCCCCUCAUGCCUGCAUGCAUGCUGUUCCAGCCUUCAGAAAUGCCAUUCCCUGGUGAUAGCUGCUCCAAUCCCCUGGCUGCGUCCUCAGGCAGCCAGCGUUCCCAGUGCCUGGGGUGGUCCAUGUUCCACCUGCUCACAGCAUCCCUGCGAAGGACAUACCGGGGAGAUGCCCACUGUGCAGAUGGAGAAACUGAGGCACAGAGGGACAGCUGACUUGCCAAGGUCCCGCAGCUGGAGACACAGCCUCCUGCCAGCUCUGGGUCUCUCUCCAGCUCCUGGACCCUGGUUCAGGAGACACCCCCUUGCUCACCGAGACCAUCCCCCACAUCCCACGGCCUGAUGUCUCUGGAGGACUGAGCUGACCACGCUCCUUCCCUGCCCCAACCUGGCCCUCCAGCUCCCCAGGGCUUCUGUGAGGCCCUCACCAGGGGCCCCGCGGCCACCUCUAUCCUGUCCCCUAGGCGCUACCAUGCCCGGCCCUCACUAUCGCCAGUCUCAGGGUCCCCAGCAUCCACUCCUCCCCCAGAAGGCCAUGUGUCACUAUGCCUGGCUGUGGCCUCUUCUCCCCUAAGCUCUGAGUGCCCGGGGCAGAGACAAUUCACCGCCACAUGGCCGGCCGGUGCUGUCCCUGAGACACCUGAGAGGUGAGAGGUCACUGAGGAACCCGAGUCUUGCUGGGGGCCCUCCCCCUACUCCAUGGGCAUCAGAGGCCCUCGGCUUUGCCCUGUGGAUGCAGGAACCUGGGGUGGAGAAUGCACACGGCUCUGGGGGUUGCUGCGUGGCCCAGCCACAUCCCUCACAGCCCUAAGUGGUGUGUGGGGCUGGCAGGAGGGAGUCCCUGCGUCUUCACACAAGACAGGGACAGAGAGGGUGCUGCUGGCCGCUAAUGGACAGGGAAGGCCGUCAGGUGGCAUUGGUCCUCCCGCCUGCCCACUGUAGUCACACCCCGCCAGCUGUGGAGGGAAGAACCACGUGGCAAAGGCAUCAAGGCCGGGUGGAGAAAGAUGGAUGUCUGGUCCAGGCCCCUCAAGGCCCAGGGAUGCUUGGGGGCACUCGAGACUCUCGGGGGGGACCCGGAAUAGAGCAGAGGCAUCGGCUCUCCCGAGACGCACACGCCAGCCAGAUGCAGGACGGGGCCUAGGAGUCCAGACCUGCCAGGGAGUAGCCUCCGUCGUCCAGGGGUGGACUUCUGCUCCAUCUUGGGCUGCAGCUCAGCUCAACACGGCCUCUAGCCUCAGCCUCCACCUCCCGCCUCCUCCCUGCACCAGGGACUGGGCCCGCCAAACCCUGACCUGCGCACCUCCUGCAGCCCCAGGUGCCCUGUGCUGCCCCCCUGGUUUGGUUUCGGGAAAGUGGGGCUGGUUUGCAUUUGAUGCUGAGGAAGACUCAGCCACCUGGGCCCCCUGGGCUGUGGGAAGGACCUGCCCCAGCUGUGCCAACACGGAGUGCUAGGCUGGGCAGGGCCAGGCUGGGCUGGCUGACUGGGCAGCACCCACCUGGGUGUAGGCUCUGCCCUCGGUUGUGGGAGGCUGUGCCUAAUCAUCACCCAAUCAAGUGGAGCUGAGCAGACUGCGCCAAGCGGCAGGGCGCGGGCCGAGGGGCGGGCGCUGCCACCCGAGGUGGCUUCCAGCUGCAACCCAGCAGCGUCCGGUGCAUCUUUGGCAGGCGCCCCCGCCAGACACCCUUUUCCUCCCCUUGACCCCGUGGCUUCCUGCGCUUCUUGGCCCCGCAGCCAGCUCGGCCGAGCCCUCCCUACAGCCCGAGGCUCCCUGUUCUGCCCUGGCGGCUCAGAGCAACCACAACGUCUGCAAACAUUCCAACCCUCUGGACCCUGGUCGUGGCCCGUCCUCUGCCUCCACGUGCCAAGGGGCCAAGAUGUGGCGCAGGCCAGCCUGGGGAGCCCCAUGGAACAUCUGGAUCCUGGGAGAGUCGUUUGCAAGUGAAAAAAGGAGGCGUGUGCACGGGAAACGUCUGGACCACAAGCACGGCCCACGUCACACACCCCGACCAGGGCCACCCGUGGAUUCGCUUAGGUCCUCCCGGGUCGGCCAAAUGGGGCUGUCCUCAGCCAGAGCACGGGGCCUCUCUUGCCUCUUCCUGCAGAGAGAGCUCCCACCCCGCCCAGGCCUCGCCUCUGCCCCCGCCUGCCGCCUUCCUCCAGCCACGCCAACUCCCGCCGUCCCUGCCCGCCCAAGCUCUGUGUCGGGCUCGUGACUCGUCCCUCCACCCUCGCCGAGGUCCCCAGACUUCGGGAUGCUCCUCCUCCUCCUGGAACUGGCUCUGACCCUCACGAGGACGUGCCUCCCCACUCCCAGUCGGGUCUCCACCUGUCAGCCACCGGGAUGUCCAAACGUGAACGGGGCUCUUGCUGCCAAGAACCCUCCUGUGGUCCCCAACUCAACCAGAGUCAAAUCUGACCCCUUCCUGGGGCCUCCCAGCAUGCGCCCAUUUGCUCGAGGGUCCAGCUGCAUCCUCUCCGCUGGUCCUCCCUUCCACGGAGGCCCCCACGUGUCAGAGGCCCUUUCUCCAUCCCUCCCAAGCACAGCACCAUCUGCCCCCAUAUCUCGCCUCAUACGCCACCUUUUCUCAGGGACAUCCCCUCGCCCACCGUAUUUCCUACACAGCCUCGGUGCGGAGGGCCAGGAAGCAGCCCCCCAGACUCCACAGCUGGCACCCUGGGCAGGCUACUCACCCUCAGUUUCCC
rnacentral:lncRNA from 1 species